GUUAUAGGGUCAAGCGAACAAGUGCAUGUGGUGGAUGCCUUGGCGAUCACAGGCGAUGAAGGACGCGGUAGCCUGCGAAAAGCUCCGGGGAGCUGGCAAACGAGCAUUGAUCCGGAGAUGUCCGAAUGGGGAAACCCACUCCUAAUGGAGUAUCCGUAGCUGAAUCCAUAGGCUACGUGAGGCGAACGCGGUGAACUGAAACAUCUAAGUAACCGCAGGAAAAGAAAUCAACCGAGAUUCCCAGAGUAGUGGCGAGCGAAAUGGGAUCAGCCGGUACACGUUAUCUGUAUUGUUAGUCGAACGCUCUGGAAAGUGCGGCCAUAGCAGGUGAUAGCCCUGUAGACGAAAACAGCAUGGAAGAACUGGGUGUACGAGAAGUAGGGCGGGACACGUGAAAUCCUGUCUGAAGAUGGGGGGACCAUCCUCCAAGGCUAAAUACUCGUGAUCGACCGAUAGUGAACCAGUACCGUGAGGGAAAGGCGAAAAGAACCCCGGGAGGGGAGUGAAACAGAUCCUGAAACCGCAUGCAUACAAACAGUCGGAGCCUCUGCGAAGGGGUGACGGCGUACCUUUUGUAUAAUGGGUCAGCGACUUACAUUCAGUGGCGAGCUUAACCGAUUAGGGCAGGCGUAGCGAAAGCGAGUCCGAACAGGGCGUCCAGUCGCUGGGUGUAGACCCGAAACCAGGUGAUCUAUCCAUGGCCAGGUUGAAGGCACGGUAACACGUGCUGGAGGACCGAACCCACUAACGUUGAAAAGUUAGGGGAUGAGCUGUGGAUAGGGGUGAAAGGCUAAACAAACCUGGAAAUAGCUGGUUCUCUCCGAAAACUAUUUAGGUAGUGCCUCGUGUAUCACCUUCGGGGGUAGAGCACUGUCAUGGUUGUGGGGUCCAUUGCGGAUUACUACGCCAUAGCAAACUCCGAAUACCGAAGAGUGCAAUCACGGGAGACAGACAUCGGGUGCUAACGUCCGGUGUCAAGAGGGAAACAACCCAGACCGCCAGCUAAGGUCCCCAAAUAUGGCUAAGUGGGAAACGAAGUGGGAAGGCUAAAACAGUCAGGAGGUUGGCUUAGAAGCAGCCACCCUUUAAAGAAAGCGUAAUAGCUCACUGAUCGAGUCGUCCUGCGCGGAAGAUGUAACGGGGCUAAGCCAUAUACCGAAGCUGCGGAUGCACAGUAAUGUGCAUGGUAGGAGAGCGUUCCGUAAGCCUGCGAAGGUGCACUGGAAAGUGUGCUGGAGGUAUCGGAAGUGCGAAUGCUGACAUGAGUAGCGAUAAAGGGGGUGAAAGGCCCCCUCGCCGUAAGCCCAAGGUUUCCUACGCAACGUUCAUCGGCGUAGGGUGAGUCGGCCCCUAAGGCGAGGCAGAAAUGCGUAGCUGAUGGGAAGCAGAUUAAUAUUUCUGCACCA
rnacentral:rRNA from 1 species